UUUUAUACCAAAUUUCGAAUAUUUAAAUUAAAACACUUCACAAGCAGAUAAUCAAACAGAAAAUAAGUGGCACGUGAGGACAAGGGUUUUAUUUUAUUAUUUUUCUUUUUGGUCCCCUUGGCGUAUUAAUAUUAUGCAAUCGAUUAUUUACACAACAAAAACAGUCCAAGUUCGUCAUCCUCAGCGAGUUUUGUCAUAAACGGCUUAAACAGGAUUUAAUCCAGACACUCUAUGGACAGUGAGACCAGUGGCAGUGGGUGACAACUGCUCACAUAACUGCAUUUCGUUGUUCAAUUAGUGUCCACUUGAUGGAGACAACGUUACAUAAAUAGAGACCUGAGUCCCCUGUCUUGGUAUCCAAUCUUUGAUUUUUGAAAGACUGUGUAUUCUGUUUAAAAAAAAAACAUGCAGACGUCCUGUCCACAAUCUUGUUGCACUUUAACGGGGCUGUUUUUCGUGGUUAGAGUCUGCGCCCUCAGCUCCAGUUAGUUAGGGAGUGAUAUUCUGUAACUGUGUGCUUGUAACUUUGAGGUGUCCGUUUUGGGAACACCCUUUCCUGUUUCAAAAGGACACAUUUUGAACAAAGUGAGGUUUAUUAAUAGAUGGUUUUCCAUGUUUGCCGUGGAAGAGCUUGACUGGCCCGUGCAGAGCAGGGGAUGACCUCUGGAGUCACCUCCUACACCAACACGGAGCUGAGCCUUUGGGCCCAGCCUCAGUGGAUGACCUCACUGAUACUGUUGUGACUGAAGAGGCGCAAAUCUUCACAGCCAGGUUGUAAAAAAAAAUCUAGUGGAAAAUCUUCCCUGCAGUAUGCUGGCUGUAUGAUGCCUGUGGUUGGGGAAUAAGACGAUCAAAGACCAUUUCAAUGGGUUAAUGCUCUGGUGUCCACGUAUAUUUGGUCACACAGUGUGAUACUGUGAGUGCAUGUGUCAUGUCAAUGCUACAAAAGAACCCAAAAUCAUCAGACGCUUUGAUCUUUUGCACCCUGACCAACGUCUUUCAGAUCACAAAUGGUAAAAAGGAAAAAGGAUGAUGAAGAAGUUGGUAAAAACAGAUAAAUAGUCUACUGUACCAACAAAUCUCAUAAUUUUCAUCAUGAGAGUUGGAAAGUAACAAAGGAUCAUUUGACAGCAUGAAUGCUGAGACACCACGAAUUCAAUCAGAGACGGAUUUUUCUACCUUGCUGCUUCUCAUGUCCUCGCUUUCUCACCAAGACGGAGAAGACGUUCAGUGGCAGCUUAAGAGGUCCCUCUUCUGAAUGAAUUAUGGCUGAUCCUGGUAUGCCCCACACAUUUCAUUGAUCACAUUGACGUGUACUUUUUUUUCUUUUUUUCUUCUUCAACAAAGGCUCUCAAACCUAGCUCUCUCCUCUGAAGCCCUGAGCUCGCUCUACACACUGGGUUUAGAAGUUAAUCUGGUUUCAAGACUGCAGACCUGCUUGUUUUCGAGGGGUGGGGGUAAUCUCUGGAUAGUGAAUAACACUUUGUUUGUGUGAACAUGUGCGACCUGA